rnacentral:rRNA from 1 species
GUCCGCCUGCCCUGUGACUAUAAGUUUAACGGCCGCGGUAUUUUGACCGUGCGAAGGUAGCGCAAUCACUUGUCUCUUAAAUGGAGACCUGUAUGAAUGGCACCACGAGGGCUUAGCUGUCUCCACUUUCUAGUCAAUGAAAUUGAUCUCCCCGUGCAGAAGCGGGGAUGAGACCAUAAGACGAGAAGACCCUAUGGAGCUUUAGACACUAAAGCAGAUCAUGUUAAACACCCCUAAAUAAAGGAUUGAACCAAAUGAUACCUGCCCUCCUGUCUUUGGUUGGGGCGACCGCGGGGAAAUACAAAACCCCCACGUGGAAUGAGAGUACCUCUCUUACAACUAAGAGCUCCCGCUCUAAUAAACAGAACUUCUGACCAAUAAGAUCCGGCACUGCCGAUCAACGGACCGAGUUACCCUAGGGAUAACAGCGCAAUCCUCUUCUAGAGUCCAUAUCGACAAGAGGGUUUACGACCUCGAUGUUGGAUCAGGACAUCCUAAUGGUGCAGCCGCUAUUAAGGGUUCGUUUGUUCAACGAUUAAAGUCCUACGUGAUCUG